rnacentral:rRNA from 1 species
UACGGAGGGUGCGAGCGUUGUCCGGAAUCACUGGGCGUAAAGGGCGCGUAGGCGGCCCGUCAAGCGUGGGGUGAAAGUCCGGGGCUCAACCCCGGAUCGGCCUCGCGAACUGGCGGGCUCGAGCACUGUAGAGGCGGGUGGAAUUCCGGGUGUAGCGGUGGAAUGCGUAGAGAUCCGGAAGAACACCGGUGGCGAAGGCAGCCCGCUGGGCAGUGGCUGACGCUGAGGCGCGACAGCGUGGGGAGCAAACAGG